AUUGAACGCUGGCGGCAGGCCUAACACAUGCAAGUCGAACGGUAACAGGAAGCAGCCUGCUGCUUCGCUGACGAGUGGCGGACGGGUGAGUAAUGUCUGGGAAACUGCCUGAUGGAGGGGGAUAACUACUGGAAACGGUAGCUAAUACCGCAUAAUGUCGCAAGACCAAAGAGGGGGGCCUUCGGGCCUCUUGCCAUCGGAUGUGCCCAGAUGGGAUUAGCUUGUUGGUGGGGUAACGGCUCACCAAGGCGACGAUCCCUAGCUGGUCUGAGAGGAUGACCAGCCACACUGGAACUGAGACACGGUCCAGACUCCUACGGGAGGCAGCAGUGGGGAAUAUUGCACAAUGGGCGCAAGCCUGAUGCAGCCAUGCCGCGUGUAUGAAGAAGGCCUUCGGGUUGUAAAGUACUUUCAGCGGGGAGGAAGGGAGUAAAGUUAAUACCUUUGCUCAUUGACGUUACCCGCAGAAGAAGCACCGGCUAACUCCGUGCCAGCAGCCGCAGUAA
rnacentral:rRNA from 1 species